UCUAGGGGAGAAAUAGCUAAAUCCGUAGAAUUUUUAUGGGCAUGUCAGCUGUCCCGUCAGCUGUUUCAUUUCGCGUGGCUUCGGACUGAGGAUGGAUGCUUAAACAAACGUAUCUGUUCUUGAAAUUUCACCACCGAUUCCGUGUGUUUUGAGCUGCGUUUUGUGAAUUCGAUCGAUGCAGGCUUGUUCAAGGAGGAGCAUGGUCUGGCUUUCCUAGCACGUUUUUCAUCUCCGUUAGUCUAAUACACCCAUUUCGUACCAAAGUUGAUACGUCUUUGGGAUGUACCUGAUGGACUGUGGUGGCCACAGAAUCAUUAAGCGACUUGGUUCAAUCCAGGACUUGGUUUUUUUUAAAGUGAUUUACAGUUUUAAUUUGCAGAGAUACUCGAGGUACCUGAUGUGUUGCAUUGAGGUUGGAGUAACUUGGUGACAGAAUGGAAUGCCACAAAUGUUAUGUUGUCAAUGUAAAUAAAACAUAUCCAGUAUCAUUCUUGUGUUUGCUGAAUUAUUACCUCAUUCAAUGGAAACAAAGGACAUAAAGAAGGGAUUUUAUUUGACAGUCAAAUGAAGCAAAGAAAAAAUGUAUUCACUGGUGUUUCACCAACUGAAAUCGAUUGAAAUAAGUAUUCUUGAGAUGGUUGGACUUGGAAGUGAAAUAAGUUUGGGAAAACAAAUAAUCUAAGUUUAUCUUUCAUUUGGAUAAAGUCGAAGAGAUAAGGUGAAAUGAAAUAAACAAAAAAUUGAUUAAA